GAGCACCAGUUUCUCUUGCAGCCUGUUAAUAAAAUAUAACAACGCAAAGAUCACAUAAAAAACAACAAAGAUAGCCCCCAGUUUAAACUGCAGAAGAACUGAAUAAUUUCAGAAAACAAAUUAAAAAGAAAAAAUGAAAGGGAAUUACUAGCAGGCAAAAGACUGAAUAAUAUGAACAGUUGCAAGCAGCCAUCACUUAAUAAUUUAAAAGAACUGAAAGCAAAUUUUCAUUCUAAACUACCUAUACAAGUGCAAUUUUAAGCGUUUGCAAGUUUUCUAUAAGCAAAUUUUCAUUCCCAACAAGUUUUUCCUAAAACAAAGUGUAUGCAAUACCACAUGCCCAUCACUUGAAAGUGCUAGAUGGAGUUGCUAUUUGGGUCAUUCACAAGAAUACCAAACAGCUUCCUCUGACACUAUCAAUGUGGAAAAUUGAUCAUUAAAGAUUUAGAGAAUAAAAAAUAAAGCAUGGAAUUUUCCCUACAAAAUAAGCAGAACAAAAACUUUCUUCUGCAGACUCUGUUCUGGCAAAACAAUUGUGUCUGAGUAAAGUUUUCUAAUGGAAAGCAGAAAAUAUAUAAAUUAGAACUAGUAGAGUAAAGAGAAGACAAGUAAAGAAGACAAGACUUCCAGCCUACGCUGUUUCUAAAACAAACUCUCAAUAUCAAUUAGAAAUGAAAGAGAGGGA
rnacentral:misc_RNA from 1 species